rnacentral:rRNA from 1 species
CACGUAGGGGGCAAGCGUUGUCCGGAUUUACUGGGCGUAAAGCGCGUGUAGGCGGUUCGAUUAGUCUGCUGUGAAAGCUCCCCGCUUAACGAGGAGAGGUCGGUGGAUACUGUCGGACUUGAGGACGGUAGAGGGGGGGUGGAAUUCCCGGUGUAGUGGUGAAAUGCGUAGAUAUCCGGAAGAACACCGAUGGCGAAGGCAACCACCUGGGCCUGCACUGACGCCGAGGUACGAAAGCGUGGGGGAGCAAACAGG